rnacentral:rRNA from 1 species
GUGGGGAAUAUUGGGCAAUGGGGGCAACCCUGACCCAGCGACGCCGCGUGAGGGAAGACGGCCUUCGGGUUGUAAACCUCUUUUGUACGGGAAGAAGGAAGUGACGGUACUGUACGAAUAAGUCCCGGCUAACUACGUGCCAGCAGCCGCGGUAAUACGUAGGGGACGAGCGUUGUCCGGAAUUACUGGGCGUAAAGGGCGCGCAGGCUGUGCUGCAAGUCAGCUGUGAAAUGUCUGGGCUUAACCCGGGCAUGCGGUUGAGACUGCAGUGCUGGAGUGCUGUAGAGGCAAGUGGAAUUCCCAGUGUAGCGGUGAAAUGCGUAGAUAUUGGGAAGAACACCGGUGGCGAAGGCGACUUGCUGGGCAGCAACUGACGCUGAGGCGCGAAAGCCAGGGGAGCAAACGGGAUUAGAUACCCCUGUAGUCC